rnacentral:rRNA from 1 species
AGUGAACGCUGGCGGCAGGCCUAACACAUGCAAGUCGAACGGCAGCACAGUAAGAGUUUGCUCUUAUGGGUUGCGAGUGGCGGGCGGGUCACGUAUAUAACCGAACCUUCUUUUUCGGGUGGGAUAACGUAGGUAAACCUACUCUAAUAUCGCAUACGAUGUAGGAGUGAAAGCAUUGGAUCUUUGGAGCUUGCGGGGAUGGAUGAGCCGAUGUUGGAUUUGUUAGUUGGCGGGGUAAAUGCCCACCAAGGCGACGAUCCGUAGCUCGUCUGAGUGGAUGGUAGGCCACCCUGGAGCUGGAACGCGGACCAGGCGCCUACGGGAGGGAGCAGUGGCGAAUAUUAGGCAAUAGGCGCAAACCUGAUCCAGCCAUACCGCGUGGGAGGAGAAAACCUUCGGGUUGUAAAGCCCUUUUGUUGGGAGAAAACAGCAGCAGCUUAAUACCAAGCUGUACUGACGGUAACCAGUGAAUAAGCACCGGCUAACUACGUG